AUUCUCACAGCUAUAAAUUCAUGCGGCUCAGCUUUUCUGAGCAAACCCUAGACCGACAUUUGCGGGUGCCACUUCCUCUGAAGAGUAUCUGCGCAUCUCUAUCGCCGAAACAAGCCAAACCUACGAGCUAGCAAUGGCAGUCGCAUUCCAUGAUCUUGUCUCACCGGCUGGCCUCAAGAAACUUGAUGACUACCUCCUUUCUCGCAGUUAUAUCACUGGGUACCAAGCUUCAAAAGAUGA
rnacentral:misc_RNA from 1 species